CAUGAACAUUGACGUUUCGAACGCACAUUGCGGUCCUUGGAUUUCCAAUCCCGGACCACGCCUGGCUGAGGGUCGGCCUUCUGAAACCACUGGGCCCGCCGCGUACGGCUGCGGGCCCGAAGAUGAGGGCACGCCCGCUCACCAUCCCCGGUGGGUUCGGGCGACGCUCUUGAAGACUGUAACAGCGCUGUUGUGUGGGCUACCGCGCUCUCCGGCGCCCGGAUUGAGAGGUGUCAUUUCUUGAACGAGACAGGAGCCGGGCGCGAGAGUGUACGAGAGAGAGAUCUCUCUGUGCAAGAGAAGGCACUAGCGGCCGCUCCACACAAACACAGUAGCUUCGCACUCUACAUCCGACCUCAGAUCAGGCGAGAC
rnacentral:rRNA from 1 species